UACAGAGGUCUCAAGCGUUGUUCGGAUUCAUUGGCGUAAAGGGUGCGUAGGUGGCGCCGUAAGUCGGGUGUGAAAUUUCGGAGCUUAACUCCGAAACUGCAUUCGAUACUGCGGUGCUUGAGGACUGGAGAGGAGACUGGAAUUCAUGGUGUAGCAGUGAAAUGCGUAGAGAUCGUGAGGAAGACCAGUGGCGAAGGCGGGUCUCUGGACAGUUCCUGACGCUGAGGCGCGAAGGCCAGGGAGGCAAACGGG
rnacentral:rRNA from 1 species